rnacentral:rRNA from 1 species
UACGGGAGGCAGCAGUGGGGAAUAUUGCACAAUGGGCGCAAGCCUGAUGCAGCCAUGCCGCGUGUAUGAAGAAGGGCCUUCGGGGUUGUAAAGUACUUUUCAGCGGGGAGGAAGGCGGUGAAGUUAAUAGCUUCACCGAUUGACGUUACCCGCAGAAGAAGCACCGGCUAACUCCGUGCCAGCAGCCGCGGUAAUACGGAGGGUGCAAGCGUUAAUCGGAAUUACUGGGCGUAAAGCGCACGCAGGCGGUCUGUCAAGUCGGAUCGUGAAAUCCCCGGGCUUAACCUGGGAACUGCAUUCGAACUGGCAGGCUAGAGUCGUUGUAGAGGGGGUAGAAUUCCAGGUGUAGCGGUGAAAUGCGUAGAGAUCGUGGAGGAAUCCGGUGGCGAACGGCGGCCCCUGGGACAAGACUGACGCUCAGGUGCGAAAGCGUGGGGAGCAAACGAGGAUUAGGAUACC